rnacentral:rRNA from 1 species
UACGUAGGGGCGAGCGUUGUCCGGAAUGACUGGGCGUAAAGGGCGCGUAGACGGCUUUUUAAGUCUGGAGUGAAAGUCCUGCUUUCAAGGUGGGAAGUGCUUUGGAGACUGGGGAGCUUGAGUGCGGAAGAGGUAAGUGGAAUUCCCAGUGUAGCGGUGAAAUGCGUAGAGAUUGGGAGGAACACCAGUGGCGAAGGCGACUUACUGGGCCGUAACUGACGUUGAUGCGCGAAAGCGUUGGGGAGCGAACAGGAUUAGAUACCCCCGUAGUCCCUGAGCGGGCU